rnacentral:rRNA from 1 species
GACGAACGCUGGCGGCGUGCUUAACACAUGCAAGUCGAACGAAGAGCGACGGAAGCUUGCUUCUAUCAAUCUUAGUGGCGGACGGGUGAGUAACGCGUAAUCAACCUGCCCUUCAGAGGGGGACAACAGUUGGAAACGACUGCUAAUACCGCAUACGAUCUAAUCUCGGCAUCGAGGAUGGAUGAAAGGUGGCCUCUACAUGUAAGCUAUCACUGAAGGAGGGGAUUGCGUCUGAUUAGCUAGUUGGAGGGGUAACGGCCCACCAAGGCGAUGAUCAGUAGCCGGUCUGAGAGGAUGAACGGCCACAUUGGGACUGAGACACGGCCCAGACUCCUACGGGAGGCAGCAGUGGGGAAGCUUCCGCAAUGGACGAAAGUCUGACGGAGCAACGCCGCGUGAGGGAUGACGGCCUUCGGGUUGUAAAGCUCUGUUAAUCGGGACGAAAGGCCUUCUUGCGAAUAGUGAGAAGGAUUGACGGUACCGGAAUAGAAAGCCACGGCUAACUACGUG